UACGUAGGGUGCAAGCGUUGUCCGGAAUUAUUGGGCGUAAAGGGCUCGUAGGCGGUUUUGUCGCGUCGGGAGUGAAAACUCAGGGCUUAACCCUGAGCCUGCUUCCGAUACGGGCAGACUAGAGGUAUGCAGGGGGAGAAUGGAAUUCCUGGUGUAGCGGUGAAAUGCGCAGAUAUCAGGAGGAACACCGGUGGCGAAGGCGGUUCUCUGGGCAUUACCUGACGCUGAGGAGCGAAAGUGUGGGGAGCGAACAGG
rnacentral:rRNA from 1 species